rnacentral:rRNA from 1 species
AUUGAACGCUGGCGGCAGGCCUAACACAUGCAAGUCGAACGAGUGGCGGACGGGUGAGUAAUGUCUGGGAAACUGCCCGAUGGAGGGGGAUCACUACUGGAAACGGUAGCUAAUACCGCAUACCAUCGGCUUUGCCCAGCUGGGAUUAGCUAGUAGGUGGGGUAACGGCUCACCUAGGCUACGAUCCCUAGCUGGUCUGAGAGGAUGACCAGCAACACGGGAACUGAGAAACGGUCCAGACGCAUACGGGAGGCGGAAGGGGGGAAUAUUGCACAAUGGGCGCAAGCCUGAUGGAGCCAUGCCGCGUGUAUGAAGAAGGCCUUCGGGUUGUAAAGUACGUUCAGCGAGGAGGCGGUACUCGCAGAAGAAGCACCGGCUAACUCCGUGCCAGCCGCCGCGGUAAUUC